UACGUAGGGUGCGAGCGUUGCCCGGAUUUAUUGGGCGUAAAGGGCGCGUAGGCGGCCUCCGCAAGUCGACUGUGAAAUCUCCGGGCUUAACCCGGAAAGGUCAGCCGAAACUGCGGGGCUAGAGUGCAGAAGGGGCAACUGGAAUUCUCGGUGUAGCGGUGAAAUGCGUAGAUAUCGAGAGGAACACCUGCGGCGAAGGCGGGUUGCUGGGCUGACACUGACGCUGAAGCGCGAAAGCUAGGGGAGCGAACGGG
rnacentral:rRNA from 1 species